UACGGAGGAUGCAAGCGUUAUCCGGAAUUACUGGGCGUAAAGGGCUCGUAGGCGGCCAACUAAGUCAGACGUGAAAUCCCUCGGCUUAACCGGGGAACUGCGUCUGAUACUGGAUGGCUUGAAUCCGGGAGAGGGAUGCGGAAUUCCAGGUGUAGCGGUGAAAUGCGUAGAUAUCUGGAGGAACACCGGUGGCGAAGGCGGCAUCCUGGACCGGCAUUGACGCUGAGGAGCGAAAGCCAGGGGAGCAAACGGG
rnacentral:rRNA from 1 species